rnacentral:misc_RNA from 1 species
GGAAGGAUCAUUAGCACAACCGUCCACUUGCCACUCCGGCCUCUCCCUUUCUCCUCUCGGGGGGAAGGGAGGCUGGGGUGUCGAGCACCGUGAGAAGUUGAAGUACGUACCCCCACGAGGCAGGGACUCGUCCCUGCUCCGUCCGGGGAGUGCGAUGAGACAGAGUCCGAUACCGAUGCGCCUGAGCCAUCGCUUCACGGCGGUGGAGAUUUCAGUGUCAACUGGAAACAACUCCUGGCAACGGAUAUCUCGGCUCCCGCAACGAUGACGAGCGCAGCGAAAUGCGAUACGUAGUGUGAAUUGCAGAAUCCAGCGAACCAUCGAAGCCUUGAACGCACACUGCACCUGCAGGCGAACUGCAGGUACACCUGUUCGAGCGUCGGCUCAACAUCACACCAAGCACCCCUCCAGGGGGAGUGCGAGGAGUGGACAUGGGCGUCCGCCUGGUAACCCGGGUGGUCGCCUCGAAUCACAGCACCGGUGCUGCGACGUCACCAGCCCUGCCACAGCUGCGAGGAGUUGAAUCCAACUGGCUGAACGGAAGGAAGUCGAUGGGUCGUCGCCUGCAUCCCAGGUGAAAGCAGGAAGGGAGCUUCGGCUCCCUCUCGAGGGUAGAAACCUAAAUCCUCGACCUCGAAUCAGGUGAGAUCACCCGCUGAACUUAAGCAUAUCAAUAAGCGGAGGAAAAGAAACUAACCAGGAUUCCCUCAGUAACUGCGAGUGAAGUGGGAAGAGCUCAAGCUCUUAAUCAGGGGUGGUCCACAUCCCCGAAUUGUAGCCUCGUGAACGGCUUCACGGGUAGCCUGCUGCGGUAGGAGUCCACUGGAACGUGGCGCCAGAGAGGGUGAGAGCCCCGUCCGCGGCCGCAGGGAGACAGGUUGCCGACACGUGCUGCCGAUUCGCAGAGUCGGGUCGUUUGAGAGUACAGCCCAAAGUGGGAGGUGAGCUCCUUCUAAAGCUAAAUAACGGUGGGAGACCGAUAGCGAACAAGUACCGUGAGGGAAAGAUGCAAAGAACUUUGAAAAGAGAGUUAAAAGUGCUUGAAAUUGCCUGGAGGGAAGCGAUCGGCAGCGGCACCUGCCCGCCGGUGGUUCAUCCUCGGACGGCUGCCUGAGCCUGCGCGGUGAGCGGUCCCUUGUGGCCGUCGCCGCGUGGGUCCUAGGUGGUCGCCCGGGGAGCAUUCCAUCGGUGGGCGAGUCAGCAUCGGUGGGGGAGGUUGCAGGAGACCCCGGGUAAGGUGACUCCGCCGUAGGCCUCGAGCCUGCGGUGGGGGGCAAUGACCCGGGAGUCGGCAUCCUCCAUCCCACCGAGGGAUCAACCGGCGCCUUCUUGGCGGGGUAAGUGGUGGGACGGGUUCUCUGAACGUGGGAGACAGCUUGCUGUGUCCUGCGAUCCAGGGGGUCCGCACCUGCCGCACCUCCUGCUGGUUAGAGAUGCUGACCGGAUGCUGCCGAACGUCCCGUCUUGAAACACGGACCAAGGAGUCUAACACGUGCGCGAGCGAUUGGGUUGCAAACCCAGACACGCAGCGAAGGCGACGGGUGGGAGGCCGCGAGGCCCGCACCACCGACCGAUCCCGAGGUUCACCGAGGGACUCGAGUAGGAGCGUACGCGUUGGGACCCGAAAGAUUGCGAACUAUGCCUGUGUAGGGUGAAGCCAGGCGAAAGUCUGGUGGAGGCUCGUAGCGAUACUGACGUGCAAAUCGUUCGUCAAACAUGGGUAUAGCGGCGAAAGACUAAUCGAGCAGUCUAGUAGCUGGUUUCCUC